ACUUCAGGUUAUAUCGCACCAUAUAUACACUCAGCUUGCAGAGUCAGUCCUAAUUUAGUGGCUGAGUGAUUAAGCGCUUGGCUUCCAAACCUGGGGCCCUGGGUUCGUAUCUUGUUGAAGACUGGGAUUUUGAAUUUCCAAAUUUUAGUCCACCCAACUCUAAUGGGAACCUGACUUUAGUUGGGGAAAAUAAAUGCGGUUGGUUGUUGCGCUGUCCACGUGACAGCCUGCUCGUUAACCGUCGGCCAAAGAAACAGAUGAACUUAACAUCACCUGCCUUAUAGAUCGCAAGGUCUGAAAAGGAAACUUUUUUUACUUUACUCAUAAUUAUGUGGUCUUUGUUCACACCCUGUUUGAAAUAUCCCGUUUACUUACUUUAAGCAUCAAUAUACAUUAAGAAAGGAAAAGAAGACAAAGCGAUAGGAAGAAAUAUGUUGACUAUAUAAUGGACAUUAUCGAAAAACAUAAGGAAAUGAAAAAGAGAAUAUUGGGAGACAAUGUAAAUCGAUUUGACAAAAAAUAAAUGAUAAAGACGUACCAUUGAAAGAUAAUAUAGAUUAUGCUUUGAGAUAAUAAAGUCUCAUUUCAAAUUGAACACACCAUCGGCAAAUACCCAGGAAAACCCAACACCAUAACAUUAUCACCACAAUAAGGCUGAGAAAGAGAACAUGACACAUAUGCAUUACAUGGUCCUUUUAUCAAAGCUUAAGACAACUUCACAAAUAGGAAACUGUUGUGUUUUCAAAAGUUAUUGGUACAUCAAUGUUGGCCUAUUUUGAGAAAGAAAAGCUCAUAACUAAAUUAAAACUUUGCAAAAAAAAAAAAAAAAA